rnacentral:misc_RNA from 1 species
AUCCUCACCGUUCACGUGCGCGGUAUAGACUUGGAAACAAAUGAUAUUCUACGAGGCUGCCUACAUUUGGUAGAUUUGGCUGGCAGUGAAAGAGUAGAUCGCUCUGAAGCCACAGGGGAUCGUUUACGAGAAGCACAACAUAUAAACAAAUCAUUAUCUGCUCUUGGGGAUGUGAUAUUUGCAUUGGCGCAAAAAAGUUCUCAUGUGCCAUAUAGAAAUAGCAAACUAACACAAGUUCUUCAAAGCUCCCUUGGAGGCCAGGCAAAGACACUUAUGUUUGUACAGCUCAAUCCUGACGUAGAAUCCUACUCAGAAACCAUUAGUACCCUAAAGUUUGCUGAGAGGG